UAUCGAGGGCGGGCUCCACGUUGAUGCACAUCACCCUAAUUAUUCUGACCGUUAGAUCUGAGAUCUAAGAGCCAUAAAUUGUUUGUCCAAACAUGUGUUAUGUUAUGGAGUCCCACACGAUUUUCCUUUUAAAAAAACAUGACUGGUGCUGACCUAAAGUCCCACUCCCACUCCCAUACGAUUCCUAAAAAAACACGACAAUUCCCUUAAUGAAACAUGUCACGUCAAAAUCUUGGUAAAGAAAAAAAAACAUGUCACGUUAGGCCGGCCGUCUGGCCAACAGUUAUCCGACCGUGGCAAAAGGCCUGCUCACGCCAUGUAUGACAACAACCCAAUAGUUCCCACA
rnacentral:lncRNA from 1 species